UCUCCGUUGGUGAACCAGCGGAGGGAUCAUUACAGAGUUGCGAAACUCCCUAAACCAUUUGUGAACCUACCCCCAAAACAGUUGCUUCGGCGGCGCCCUAGCCGGCCCGCCGGAGACCGCCAAACGCUUUGUUUUUAGUGGAACUUCUGAGUAAAACAAACAAAUAAAUCAAAACUUUCAACAACGGAUCUCUUGGUUCUG
rnacentral:misc_RNA from 1 species